rnacentral:siRNA from 1 species
AGUGUAUCUUGCAUCACCGAGGCA